rnacentral:rRNA from 1 species
GACGAACGCUGGCGGCGUGCUUAACACAUGCAAGUCGAACGGUAAGGCCCUUCGGGGUACACGAGUGGCGAACGGGUGAGUAACACGUGGGUGAUCUGCCCUGCACUUCGGGAUAAGCCUGGGAAACUGGGUCUAAUACCGGAUAGGACCACUGCCUGCAUGGGUGGUGGUGGAAAGCUUUUGCGGUGUGGGAUGGGCCCGCGGCCUAUCAGCUUGUUGGUGGGGUGAUGGCCUACCAAGGCGACGACGGGUAGCCGGCCUGAGAGGGUGACCGGCCGCACUGGGACUGAGAUACGGCCCAGACUCCUACGGGAGGCAGCAGUGGGGAAUAUUGCACAAUGGGCGCAAGCCUGAUGCAGCGACGCCGCGUGGGGGAUGACGGCCUUCGGGUUGUAAACCUCUUUCAGCACCGACGAAGCGCAAGUGACGGUAGGUGCAGAAGAAGGACCGGCCAACUACGUGCCAGCAGCCGCCGUAA